rnacentral:lncRNA from 1 species
UUCAGCUUCCACUAAUAAUAAUUAAUGAGACUUGUUUAUGUCUUCCUUUCAGGUCUGUAACAGGGACGCAGCCGCUGCAGGCAGCAGAUGUGAGCAGUGGCAGCCCAGAGGAUGGGGACAGCCGUGCUGUGCCCCCGGCAGCGCUCACUGCCCGGCCCAGAAAGAAGACCCCAACAGACAGCAGAGCAAACAGCACCACUGCAGAGAAUGAUCCCCAUCCCCUGGCUUUACCCACGGCUCCCCCCAAAGUGGCAGCAUCCCCAAACAAGGCUCCACGCUGUGCUGCUGCAUCCAGGGAGAGGUUUUAUGGCUAAUUUGUGUUCUUCACGUCCAACUCACGCUUUACUCAUGGUGGACAAUCAGCUGCAGCAUGCAAAACAGCUUUCCAAAAUCAAAUGCAUUUAUGGCCGCUUCUCCAGUUGACGUGAGCGCAGUGCAGCUGCUGUGACAUUUCUCAGGUAAGGGCAGCAGAAAUGCUGGUACAAAAUCUGGCAUCCACAGAAGAGAAAGAGUAACACCUGAGGCUCUGUGCAGUGUUCCUUAGUAUAUGCAAGGUUCUGGGGGUGUAGAUACU